rnacentral:tRNA from 1 species
UAGCUUAAUGGUAGAGCACAAGACUUGAAAGCCUGAGGUCCCAGGUUCUAUCCUUGG